GCAUAAUCAUAGUCAAAAUCAGUCAAACGACUGCAAUAGACACUGAAUCUGCUCAGGGGAAAACAUAAUCAGGGAAACAAAUUGCUAAGGGAAAUAAAGUCUUUAAGUUCAGUUGCAAAUUUUCUUCAACCCGCUGCGUAGAGCCUCAUCUCACUUCGAUUUCACGAAUGAUAUAUCCCCACGGGAGCACAUCAUAUAGGGUUCUCUGCAGUCAUAAUAACUGCUCUUAGUACAUUCACUCAUAUAACCAGUGACAUUACACAUAAUAAAAACAAUGCUCAUGCAAAAUUAUAUUUCUCCUACAUUAUCCCAAUUUUCGAACAUUAUAAAGGGCAAUAGACGACAAUUCAAUGGACUAUCCUAAUUCGUUACUAGUAUCAUUUUGUCCACUUCUUCUGAAAGAAACACAAAUACGUAUAAUUUUAGAUAACCAAGAACGUAAAAAAGUAGGAACCUUAGUCUGCCUACGCCGUGUCCAUGGGCUGACUCUGGCUUCUCAGCUGCGUCCCUUGCACUUUCUUGAAUUUAGCAGUUAUACAUUCAGGUAGGCUUAGAUUUCCCAGCCACUGCGUCGCUUUCUUGAACAUAGUCUUUAUGCGCUUAAUCACCAUCUGAAAGAGAAAAAAAGAAUCAAAGGACAUAUGUAUGAUACCUUACUACUUUUUAAUUUGAAAUCAUCAGUCGUGAUCAAGAGGCAUUGUACCUCUGCCGGCUGAAAGUAAUUCAUCCAAAUGAUCACCGUCAUGCACAAGACUGCACAGGCAGAAGGCCAUACAACUGAUUUGGAAAUAUCUCUACAAACAUGCAGUGUUAUAAAUGAUGCUGAGCACAACCACAGAAGUAUUAAAAGCUGCGCUAUUUGGAGGAGUUUGAAUCCAAAACUGUCACGCAAUGCUCCCUCCUUGAAGCUUGAAGCAGGACCUAUC
rnacentral:lncRNA from 1 species